ensembl:lncRNA
GAUUGACCUGUGGUGGACUCCACUGUGUUUACUGCCAAUUUGGGAUGAUGCGUUGCUGUAAAGUGCUACCAAUAAAUGGGAAGUUUGGGCUAGCAGGAAAAGAACAGCAUGAUGCAAAACUAUACUCAGACCGGAGUGCUUACCAGUGUGUUUGCCAGACAGAAGGAGGUUUAUUUCCUUCUCAUAAGAGCUGCUAACUGCACUGCAGUGGUGGAAAUGACCGUGAACUUCAGAAUUCAAGAAGGCUGUUCUAAAAAAUACUGCAAAAAGUGUGAAAAUGCUCUAAAAGUAUAGCUGGUCAUCCUAAGUACAAAUGAGAGAUCUACAAGGUGUUAUUCCACCAGAGGAAGAUCCUGUACUCUGCAGUCCCACUACGGACCUGACUGUGGCAGAGGAGGAGCAGCCAUCUACUUACAGGUCAAUUCUGAAAGGGUACUCUGAAGCGCUGGAACAUUUAACUCACAGUGAAGAAAUACUGCCCAGCUUCUGUUCAACAUCAUCGUCAGCCGCUUGGUUGGGCGAUUCUGGCCAGUGCACAAGGAACUGUAGGAGCCCUUCAGUGAUUACAGGACACCACAGAUGGCAUCUGCAAGGCUGAACCAUGGGGAUGAUGCUGCCGUUUUUGCAGGCAAAAGCUAUAGAAAAGUGAAGCAGGAGUCCCAAGAAAAUGCCUGGACUCAUGAGGUAAGAGAGUAAUUUUCUUUUGUUGCUGAUCAAUGUUUUAUGUGAGUCUGUGCAUAUGCACUCAUAGGUUGAUUGCUAGUAGGGUGUGUGCAGGUCUGGUUAGGAAUGUCAUUGCAAGGGUGAGGGGUCCAAGACAGUUUAGGCAGUUUUGCCUAAAAGAUGAUCUGUGCUGUGAAAGAAUCUGAGAACCACUGAUAUACUAUAUUAUCCCAGGACAAGCCACAUUAAAAUAUGGGUUUGUGAAAGCCUGUUGUUUAAAAGACCGUCUUGUUCCAUGUUUUAUAAUGGCUGAUGCCUGUUUUAUCUGCACUUCUUUUUUUCUUUUUUUCUUUAAAGAUGCAUGGACUAAAAUUUAAAAGUAAAAUUUAAUUUACUCUCCCUACCAAACACUGUGCCUUAGUACCAGGCUCAUGCUUCAAGAUCCAUUUCACUAAGAAAUCAUUUUCAUCUUCUAUACUGUGUUGUCUCUUUAUUGCCAGGUAUUUAUUUGUGUUUUAUGGUUUCCCUGAGCCUUAUUUUCCCACUAAUACUGAGCACCACUUGCUGCUGUUGCCACUCAUGUCUAUCCAUUCCCUAAAGUCCUGAAGUUAGCAAUCAAGGGAGAAGUUUCAUAACUCUGAGGAAGAAAGGCCAAAUGAUUGAUCCAAAUCCAAAGGAGUUAUACUUUGGCUAUAAUAAGCAACAAAACAUAGUAAAUGCUGUGUGGUAUAUGAAUGUCCAGAAGGCCAAACUAUUAUAGCUAUUAUAGCUAUUGUCUGGUGUUCAUUCUGCCAAAAAAAGGUGGAAAGAAGCAGCAGCUCAGUGAACCUAGGUAGAAAUUUUCCAGCUGAAAUUGUUUUCAUCAGAAAACCUGUAAUUUGUCCAAGAUUUACCAAAGCACAGUAAGAUGUGACCUCUGAGCAAGGUCUGUUUUGGCCAAAUAUUUUUCUAUUUCAUAAUGUGUGUCGGUGUUUUCAAAUUUCCUACAGUCAGGUGAGGCGCGAGCAAUCUAACCUAAAAUUAAAGAGUUUGACUUGCUCAGAAUGCACUUCUUUUUUUCCUGAGAAUUUCAUUUUGCAAGCCAUCUCCUUUAUUUUCUGGCUUGAUUUCUUUCAGUUAGAGGGUACAGUUCAAACAACGUGACUCUGAAAUUUCCAGUACUCUCAGUCUAAUAGAUGUACGAGACAGCAGCAUGAAUUGCACGCUAAUCUGAUACCACUACCAAAGCACUGCUGGCUGUGUCCUCCAGCAUGUCAGCUGAACGUCAGCCAGAGGUGUUAACAAAGUGAGCUAAAAACGCUUCUUUUUCACUUUUACAGUAAAACUUCAGUUUUAAGUUUUUGUCAUGCCAUUGACUUCUUUAUUGCAUGUGGAGAUGCUUCACAAAAUGCAGAGUUUAUUUUGAGAAUUGAACAACAUUUUGGGCUCCUAAAUUUAAGCCAUUAUUUUGAAUAUUAUCCUUAUUAUUAUUGUUAAGCUAAAUAAAAUCCAAAAUGGACCUCAUGUUUCUCCUUUAUUAGUAGGAAUUAGGAAAUCAAAAUUGUUCUUUUCCAAAUAUCCUAUAAAUUUUGAGCAAAAUACGGAACAAGGAUCAUAAUCCUCCUUUAUUGUGUUGUCCUAUUAAUGCACUAAGCUAAAAACAUCCUAUACAUAUACAGUAAAAAGAGAAAGUACAUUCUGAAUCCUAGCCUAAAGGUUUAAUGCUGAUACACUGAUUCAAACCUUUUCCUGGGAAAACUGGGUCUUGAGUCAUUAUAGGUUAGAUUCCAGAGAGCAUUCCUUAAGCUGCUAUUUGAAGGCUAAGUUGGUUUUAAGAAAAGCCUUAUUUGGGUCUUUAUUAUUGCAUUGCUCAUAAAACAACAUCCCAUAGUUUUAUUUCACUUUCUUGUGACAUACAGAAAUCAGAAAAGGAUUAGCUGAUGGUAAUACCAAACAUAUUAGAACAAUCCCUUUGUAUCUGACAGCAAAUUGCAAACAGGAGCACUGAUCCUAUAAGCUGUUGAGUUCAUAUUUCAGAAGUGCUGAAAUAUUCAACAGCUUAUUAAAAGUCAAUACUCAUUGUUUCAUCUGAUGGAAAAUUGCAGUGUUCCUCCAGUAAUUCCAGUUAUAGCAAAAGAUCUGUGUAGUUGAGAACUGGAAUCUUGGGAAUUUCAAUGUGACCUUUUUAUUAAAUUAAUAUACACCAAUUGUGAAAUAAUGAACUUUUCUGUCUGCAUGGAUGUGACCAUACUCACCAUCUUCACGCAGGGUAGAUUUUGGUACUCAGUGCUGUGCAGGAAUACUUGCUGAUUCAUAAGCACAGCAAUGUUUGGAAUAGGCUCUUAAAAACUUAAUAGCAUCUUUACUUCGUGGUUUGCGCAACAGAGUUCUUCACAGAAUCAACACACCAUAUAAUUCAACUAAAAUUAACACAAUUAAAUCUAUUACAAGGCCUUACUACAUAAUUUACUAAUCUAGAAGUCAUAAACCUUAUAUGUAAAGUUAAUAAAUGCUACAAUUGAGGUGAGGGUGGUUUGAAGUCUAGCAUUAGCUCAUAGACAGAGCUGAACACGAGCAAUCUCUUUUCCCAAAGGGAAGAUAUCACAGAAAAAAAUAAAUAAUGUCUUAUUUGGAUUCUUUUUCAUCUUUAAGACAUUAGAUGUUACUGUACUGGAUAGAGAGCAGGAAAAAGGUGCUUUGUAGGAGUACCUGCACAAGAUGUGUAAAGAUUUAACACGUAUGUUCUGUAUCAGGCUUUGUAGAGAGUCCUUACCAAAAACGUGGAAAGACAUCAAAAUAAUGUUUCUGUUCUCAGUGUCAAAACUGAGCGGCGUUGAACCCCAUGCAAAAGUCUUGGCAGCUUCCGGGAUCAAAGUACAAGUUCUGCACUACUUCUGAACAGACAGCUGAUGAGCAGCAUCACCAGCUGCACUUGUAAUAUUGCUUUUCUGUGGAGAUUCUGCUUUAUCUAUGUUCAUUAUCACACAACAUCUGCAUUUGCUGCUACUGUGCUGCUGAGUGCCAGUGUUUUGUGCUAGUGUAAAAAGAGAGGGAAUUUGUUCUUCAUGUAGAAAGGAUGCACAGUGUGUUUGCAGCCAGAGACUGGUCUAUAAAUCUGGUUACUGAUACAAUCUCAUGUAAAGACUUGCAAAAAAAUGUUCUAUGGGAACUUUUAUUAAUACAGUCAUUCCUUUAUUCAUAAAGGUCAUUGAAACAGGAUAGUAGAAGUAUUUGAAUGUUGUUUGGUUUUUUGUUUGUUUUUUAUUCAGCAGUGCAUUACUACAGCUUUUCCUUUUUUGCUUUGUAUAGUUUAGAUAAAAAUGUUUAAAGACUACUUUAGAAGAGAAAGGCAAAGUUAGAAGACAAAAUGAAGUCAAGAUGUGCCCUUCUUACAGAGUUAACUGUCAUGCAGUAUGCCAGGCAACUGUUACUAUGAGGUGUUUAAUAUUUGCUGUUUAUUUUAUUUUUUAUUUUUUAUUAUUUUAUUUUUAUUUUAUACUAGAGGCAAAAAUACAUAUUCUUAAAUCAGAAAUUUUCUUCUCACAGUUUAACCACGAGUUUUGCAAAGGAUUACUUGCAGUGCUCUUUCCAACUCUCAGUUCCUUUCCUGUGUUGCAUUUGUGGAUUCCUCCAGUGUCUGAAGAGGAGAAUUUAAUAAUGAAUCUAUUCUCUAUUUUAAGAAGUUGAUUUAGGUUUCUAUCUUUCAGUAGGAGAUUCCCCCAUAAAAAAAAAAAAAAAUGCACUUGAGGGAAUAUUGUGUUCUUUGCAUUCUGCUAGAUCCAUUAUCAUUAGUUAGAGCAGGGAAGCAGAUGUGCAGGUUGCAAAAAUGCAAGGCAACCCUUGCAAAACAAAAUAAAGAAUAGAAUAAGCCAUUCUUAUUAAUUUGCACACAUGCUAGACUUGUCCAAAUGCAUUAGGUGUGAUAGUUUCCCUUCCCAGAGAUCUCUGAUACAUACUGUGGUAGACCGUAAGGUGAGGAGAAGGGGUGAUUGCAAAAGCACCUGUCACUGGGCAAAGCACUUAACUAAAAAGUUGUCCAAAGGCCUCCUGCUUUUUUUAAUACCCAUCUACAAAAUCUAGUGCUUUGUAGCUCCAUGUUAACAUUGUUGAUAUGGGGUGAAUCACAAACAUUCCACAAAUGUGAUUUGUUUUCUUACGUUGAGCAGUGGCGAGGUGUAAGGACAAGUUCCUCAACUGGUAUGUUUUCAUUCAGGAAAACCAUGAUAUUUUUCGUUAUCUAGACAGCUAACAUGAAGCAUCCUGUAGCUCAACAAUGUGAAAGAUCAUUCCUUAAAUCUCACUGAUACUGGUGUAAAUCAGAACAGCUAUAGUGCAGCUCUUAAAUACAGUCUCACUUUGCACUUCUGUCAAUGAAAUUAAGAUUGACCAACUGUGGCAGUUAAAAAGACAUCAAAAGACAUCAACUCUGGGCAUCAAAAGACAUCAAAUCUGGAUGUUUGUCUUUUCCUAGUGGCAUCAAACCAAAGAGCUGUAAGAAUUCAGUUGCGUAACCCUAGCACUGUCAACCUUUGAGCCACAUCAGUCAUUUCUUUUGGAUUUGGACAUAAUUUCAAUGUGUCCUAAAGGUUUUGAGAAGCAUUGGUGCAGAACCAGAGCCUGAUAGUCUCUGAGGACACUGGAGAAUGCCUGAGAAUGAAAAGCAUUAGGACCCAUAAUUACAGGCUCCAGAAGGUAGGUUCGGUUCACUGGACCAGUGGAGAAAGGAUUGCGUAAAGAUCAACUUUUCUGCGACCAUAAACUUAUCUCAAUAUAAAGAAGUGGCACUAGCUAAAGAUUCAGAGACAGCAUAUUUCUGUUGGUAUGUAGUUUGAUCAUAAGGUCAUCAUCCCUUGACUGUACUGAAUAAUUGCAUUUGUAUAUAGUGUUUGACUAUGAGCUUCAGUUGAAAUUGCUACCCAGUAGAACAAAUUUGUAGUGAUUUGUCCUGUACUACGGUUUAAGUGGUGUGUAGUCUGAAUUAGGAUAUCUUCAGAAGUUCUUUGGAAGAGCAAAUGAGGAGAAACCUGCUGCUGCAAACCACGACUAGCUGGAUAAGCCUUAGCACUGCAAAUGUAGUGCUUACAAACUUCACAGACCAAAGGCACUUAGUAAUGAAAUAUUCUGAGGAGUCACAGAAUGAUAUGGCAGUCUUUCUUCUCUUAAGGAAUUCUUAUCUUAUUCACUUUGUUACAUAUUUCCUUCAGCAGAAAAAAAGCCACAAGUGUGAUUUAAGUUGGUGUAAAUAAUAAAGACUGAAGUCCCACAUCCAUGUAAUUCACUACGCAGUACUCUUUUUUUCCAAUGAGACACACUGAGCCUGGAAGCACAUGCAACCAUAGUCUGCAGUUUGUCAUGCUUUGUUUUGUACUUGUUUUUCUUUCUUACACUUCCCCAGGCUCCAAACUUUUCCUUUGCCUGCAGUUGCUUCCCUUUUUUUUUUUUUUGGAGGUCAACAGGUGAAAUAACUUCUGUGUGCUUUCUCAGUGAAGACUGGAUAGAUACAGGUGAUUCCCCACCAUGAAUCUCUUCAUGGUUUUUGUUUUCUGCAAUAAAUAAAUAAAUAAAAUAAUAUAAAAAUCCAAAGAACAACAAAACCAACAACCCUACAGUUGUUUAUUUGGAGCACAGCCUAGUUAUUCCUUGCUGGAAAGGCUCUGUAUCAGGAGUGUCCAAGACCUUUCAGACAUAGAAUGUAUCUGAUCUCCUAAAGGCACUGUUAAAUAAUGCUUGUAGUCUAGUAAUCUACUGUCAUCCUAAAAGAGAGACUUCUGUUUUAAAACAUAUACAGAAUACUAAUAUUUUGUAGAUUCUUACUUCCAUGUUUUUAUCAAAGGUUUCACAAUGUUGGGUAUUUAUUAUCAAGUCCAAUUGCCUACAGUGGUGUGAUCAUGUGACACUCUUGGGCAUCGUUUAAAAAAUUAAUUUCUUCUUCUUUUAGCUGAAGAGAAAAGCAUGAAAACAUGACUCGAGUGCUUGCUAACAGCUUGAAAACCAAAGACAAAUAAAAAGAACCCAAACUUCAUUAUUUGAAAAACAAGGUCCUUAAAUUGCAUAUUCGUAAUGUUCAGAAGGGUAAGACCAUUUGUUUCUCAACACUUGAGACGAUCAAUUCUGCGCAGCUAUAAUUGGAGACUUAGAGUGUAUAUACGUGGAAAUAUAUUUUAAAUUAAGAGAGUGUCCUUUCAUGCUAGUCUGUUUUCUUAGCUUCCUGCAUAAGAAAUCAGUUAUUUCCAUUUGCUUAAGAAAAUGAUGUAAUUGUUUUGCUCUUGUAAAAUUUAAAGCAUUGUAAGCAAUGCUGAGCUUUUUCAUUAUUAGCAAACACUUUCUAAAUGAUGACAUACUAAGAUGGCAAGCAAUAAGUCAAAGUUAGCAAUUAAAUUACCAUUAAUUUAUUAAAGUUGCUUAAAGUUCCUAGGGGAAACAGUUCUGGUUACUCAUUAAUAUCCUCUUCCUGUAUUCUUCCUGCUCACAGAAAGAAAGAGCAUUCUCCUGAGUCCUAAAGUCCUAAGGACUAGUUAAGUAGCAGGUAUUUGUAAUCUAAUCUGUAGGUGCUAUCUUCAAAUAAAUGCAGGAGUAGGAUGGAGUGAGCUACAGUAAGUUCAGGAUGCAAUGAUUCAUUUAAAAAAAUAAAUAAUAAUAAAAAAGCUCAUCCUAAUUUCAUUGUGAGGUACUAAUAGGUACUAAUACGUCAAGCCAAGUUACUUGUGGUUAAGGUUGCUAUCUUUACUUCAGUAAUAUAUAUUGAAGUUGCCAAAUAUUCAGUUUUAUAAGCAAGUCAAAAUGCCGACUUCACUCUUAACUUAAACCAUCACGGCCAUCUGCAAUGAAAAUCAUUCUCGCUUUAGUUUCCAGAACCAUUUUUAAACUCCUAGACUAAACAUAUAACAGUUGCUAGCAGUCAGCAGCUUUAUUACUUCUACUGCCCUUGCAGAUGCAUCCUGGUUUCAAUUUGUCCAAGUACAUCAAAGUAUUUAAUUUUUAAAUACCCCAAGCGUUUUCAAUUGUUUAAAGACUAUUUGUCUUCUCAAAUGUUUGAAGGUAAACACAAAUUGAAAAUUGUCUUGAUGAUUAUUUUUUUCCAGUUUUAAAGGACUGCCACAUUUCUGUUCUGAAAAGGCCCCUGAAGCUCAAUUGUAUAUGAAGCUAUGAUAGGUUAUUUUACUUUUUUUUCCCCCCAAGUAACUUUAAUUCAGUCAGUUUUAGGUUACAUAGUCAGCUCCAGCUCCUUCAUUCUGAGAAUUGUCUCUUCCUGUAGAGUUCAAUGAAUUAAACGCUUACUAAUGCCAUCAAUUUGUCUCAACUUCACUCUAAGGUUUUUUUUCUUCCUGUCUUUUUUUUUUUUUUUUUUUCCCAGCACUAGACUGCAAAUAAAUACAUGGUUAAUUGAUCCAUCAGCCUAAGAGAACACAUAAACACAGCUAGUCUUAGACUGCAACUGACAGGAAAGCCUAAACUGGUUAAGUGGUAUUUAGCCAGCGCAAAACUAGAUGAAAUAUGAGUAGCUGGCUUGCAAAGGCAAUCAUGUAGUCAUUUUGUUUGAAAAUGCAUUCAUUACUUUGUAAUACUUGAAAUAUUGUGUAACUAAAUAUUAAUAGAAUUUAAUGUUAGUUGCUCAGAAAGUAAUGCCUCCUAUUUAUUUCCAUGGAAAGUACAACAGGCACAAAGAGCACAAUAACACUGUGUGAUGGAGAAAAUCCUCAGCUACAACUCACCACUUCUCAUAUAGUCAGCACCAUUAGCUGUGCAUUUUCACCAGCAAUGAAUGAGAGCCUGCAUGUAUGUCAUGCUUGUAAUCAACAUCCAGCAUCCACCUCAGAUGGUGCAGGCCAACAUAAUAAAAUUGGAGGGUUUCUAUGUACUUGAAGACUGUUCUUCCAUUUCUAGUCAUCCCUUUCUGCUUUAUUGCCAAUCUCUCACUUCUCUGUGGAUCAUUCUUUGCCGAUCCAUUCUUGCAUUAGGGAAUUUGUGUACUGGCCCUCCCUGUUCUCUGGAUCUUCUUUAAGACUCUCUCUCCCUGGUUCACAUCUCAGUUGAAUGUAGCCUCCAGAGCUGAGGAUCAAGGGCUGUGGCUGCAGAUAGCACAAACCAGCUUCUCCUUGGCUUUUCUUUUUGGCUUAAGGGGAUACCUCAGCAGACAGUAUGGAUGACAUACUGCAGCCUACAGGCAUUUGAAUAAAUGGAAAUUUCUAAAUAUGUCAGUCCUAAUUAGUGAGAAUAACCUGAUUCAUUGGAAAAUCCACUCUGCUCCAGCAGUCAGAACAGCCACAGAAGCCUUGUAAACUUCUGCUUUGUGUGUCUGAGAACGAAAUGUUUUGUAAGCAGGAAAUCCCAUUUGUGUAAUUUUUUACUUUUUUUAAAGAAGGAUAGGCUGGUUAAAAUAGUUGUGCAAUAAUGCCUUCUAACCUAUGUAUCUACAUACAGGUUCAGUUGUACAGGAUUAGUUACCGCAAAAUGACAGACUUGUGAGAACAAAAAUGCAGCAGCAUAAGUUAAAGGCUAUUUAAAUAUAGUCCUUAUUUUGUAACGUGGGCACUGUGCUCCCAUUUUCAAACUGCCAAUGAACCACUGGGAAUUUUCAUUCUCUUGCUGAUUCUCUUUAAGACCUCCAUGAACAGCAGAGAAAACAUUUCCACUGUAAUAAAAACAGGGGUUUGUUUUCCUUUUUUAAAACUGAGGCACUGGGUAAAAUAAAGGUCAUUGCAACAACAUUUGAAAGAACAAAAAGAGUAAUUUUCCCCCUUUUGCUUUUUUACUGGUUUUCGAUGCAAUGUGAAAAAUCAUUUUUAAGUUUGCCCAUCUGUUUUACAUAAAACCUUAGCUGACCUUACACAAAGUGAAACAAAUGCACAAAAAGCUUUGCUGUUGGGUUCUUGCCAGCAGGACAGAAGAGAAAGAAAAGAAUACAUAAAGUUAGAUCCUGCUCUUGUGUAGAUUAGCCUAGCUCCAGUGGGGACUUGUGUUGAUUUAUACCGGCAGAGGCUCAGGCUUGUAUUUCUUAUAAAAACCAGACUUGUCAGACCCAGUCUUGAAACACUGAAAUCAUCUGAAGUUUUGAUACUGAUUUUUGUGGGAAAAAAAGUACACUCACUGAAGGAGCCGUGCUUAUUACAGGUAAACAGCACAUAUCCGUAUAGUCAGCGUGUGCUAUUGGGCAAAGUGAACUGUAAGAACACAGUGUAAGUAACUCUUUGAGAUUUGUGGAUGAGCAGGUGUGGUUUAAGGCUUGAAUUGUACCUCAGCUUUGUAUGCUUUGUGUACAUGACUGAGUUUGAGCCUUGUCUGAGGAAGCUAAGGAGCUCAUUUCACAUCAGUCUUGAAGCAAAGGGAUUCUCAGAACACGCAGAGCUAAUCACAGCAGGGUCAUAGGAGGCAGAUACGUUUGCAGGACUGAUGCAGAGCUCCAUUGCUCGAGGUGGAUCCUGAGGAAUAGUUGCUAUUUAUUGCAGCCCAAUGUAUUGGAAUUCAAAACCAAGGAGAUCGAUCAUCCUCGCAUCAGAUCUGAGGGCUUCUUAUCAAAUAAAAAAGCCUGCAGCAGCAGAAAGCAGUCCUACCUGCCAAGAUGAAGUGAAGACACAAAAGUGUUUUGAAGAAACAAAAUGGGAGACAGCCAUAGGACACAGGUCUCCUUAUAGUCAUGCCAAAACGUUUGGUACAUAGUAUGCAUUUUUUGCAGUGUGGUGGAACAAAGCAAUUAUUUCACAGCUGAAGGAAAACCAGAAGAUAUUUAAAAAUGGAAAGGUAUGUCUCAGAAAUGGAUCAUCUAGAGGUAGAGAAAAUUGAUUUCAUUUAAAUGAAAUGACAGGAAGCAAAUCUGCCAACAUACCUGUGCUCUAGUGUCUCUCUGAGUCAUGAAACUCCUAAGCCAUAAAGAAAAGUUACAAAUGAAACACAAAGAAGGGGAAAAAAAGCACAGAGAAUUCUUCAGAGAUAAAAAUACUUAUUUUGCUUCUUGAUAAAAUAUGAUUCAUUGCAAGCAAAUUACUACCUAUCAUAAUAAAUCAUGAUUAUCUAUAUUGUAGCAGAGGGAGAGAAAAUUCAGUUGUGCUUCAGAUUACACCCACUCCUUCUGUAUUUAAUGUACAAAUAUAUGAAAACAAUUACAAAC